GACGAACGCUGGCGGCGUGCCUAAUACAUGCAAGUCGAACGCAGUGGGGACGGGUGAGUAACACGUGGGUAACCUCCCAUCAGAGGGGAUAACACUUGGAAACAGGUGCUAAACCGAUACUGAUGGAUGGACCCGCGGGGCAUUAGGUAGUUGGUGAGGUAACGGCUCACCAAGGCCACGAUGCAUAGCCGAGCUUGGAGGGUGAUCGGCAACAAUGGGAAUUAGACCAGGCCCAGACUCCUACGGGAGGCAGCAGUAGGGAAUCUUCGGAAAUGGACGAAAGUCUGACCGAGCAAAGCCGCGUGAGUGAAGAAGGUUUUCGGAUCGUAAAGCUCUGUUGUUAGAGAAGCGGUAACUAACCAGAAAGCCACGGCUAACUACGUGCCAGCAGCCGCGGUAAUUC
rnacentral:rRNA from 1 species